rnacentral:rRNA from 1 species
AGAGCUCAAAUUUAAAAUCUGGUGGUCUUUGGCCAUCCGAGUUGUAAUCUAGAGAGGUGUUUUCGGUGCUGGACCAUGUACAAGUCCCUUGGAACAGGGCGUCAUAGAGGGUGAGAAUCCCGUCCAUGACAUGGACUCCCAGUGCUGUGCGAUACACCUUCAAAGAGUCGAGUUGUUUGGGAAUGCAGCUCAAAAUGGGUGGUAAAUUCCAUCUAAAGCUAAAUACUGGCGAGAGACCGAUAGCGAA